AGGACGCGAUGGUCUGCUUGGCGUUGCUUGUUUUUUAGGCUGAGACACACUUGAACGGGAGUCCUUUGGAGACCAGGGAACGCCGAAGCUGGCAUGGACUCGCCUUCAGAGACAGGAGAACACUCACUGAGCUAGGAGGAGUGGGCAUCUCUCUCAGGCCAGCAGCGCAGGCUCGUGAGGGUGCUAAUACAGCCAGAAAAGAGAGAUCUUCCCGUCUACCCCGGAGAAGCCUCGGCGAGGAAAUCAUUAAGCUAACAUCCAACCCCUCGGAGCGUGCAGGCAGAACAAAUCUGAGGGGAGCCGAGACAACCAGCAACGGCAGCAGUGUUUCACCAGAAACCAGACCGGUCCUCGGGAUGAAUCACUGCUCUCUACAAUUUGAGGAUUCCACAUCGUGAGCUAGACAAGUCCACCACCUGCCGGCACCAAGGAGUCCAGCCUGGGCAAAACAACCACAAAGGCCGACGGGGAAGCCAGCCCG